rnacentral:snRNA from 1 species
AGCUCUGCGCAAUGGUGGUACUGUAGCCAAUGAGAUUUAUCUCAGGCAUGAUUGGCACUAAAUGAAAA